GGCAAAAUCCUAAAGUAGAAAGAGCAUAGUUUUUAGAACAAGAAACUUAGGUUUGAAUCCCAAUUUUGCCA
rnacentral:tRNA from 1 species